rnacentral:rRNA from 1 species
ACGAACGCUGGCGGCGUGCUUAACACAUGCAAGUCGAACGGUAAGGCCCUUCGGGGUACACGAGUGGCGAACGGGUGAGUAACACGUGGGUGAUCUGCCCUGCACUUCGGGAUAAGCCCGGGAAACUGGGUCUAAUACCGGAUAGUACUGCGCGGUGCAUGCCGUGUGGUGGAAAGAUUUAUCGGUGCAGGAUGGGCCCGCGGCCUAUCAGCUUGUUGGUGGGGUAAUGGCCUACCAAGGCGACGACGGGUAGCCGGCCUGAGAGGGCGACCGGCCACACUGGGACUGAGACACGGCCCAGACUCCUACGGGAGGCAGCAGUGGGGAAUAUUGCACAAUGGGCGGAAGCCUGAUGCAGCGACGCCGCGUGAGGGAUGACGGCCUUCGGGUUGUAAACCUCUUUCAGCAGGGACGAAGCGCAAGUGACGGUAGCUGCAGAAGAAGCACCGGCCAACUACGU